UACUCCAUACAUCUAUACAGUUCAUUAAAAUUAGAAUUGGGCCAAUAUUCAUAUUAAAGUGGCUGAAAUCUCAUCUUCUCUUCUCCGUUCACUGGAGACAGCAUUUGAGAAUUCUGAGCUUAAUGAGCGAGCAAAGCCAAGACGAGAGUACUUUCAGACGCUGGACUCACUACAGCAGUUUUUCAUUCUGAGGUUAGUGAACGAGCAGAAGCCGAGACAGGCGGACUUUCAGACGCGGGACACACUACAGCAGUUUUUCAUUCUGAACUUAGUGAGCGAGCAGAAGCCGAGACAGGCGGACUUUCAGACGCGGGACUCGCUGU